rnacentral:rRNA from 1 species
GAGGGUGCUAAGGUAGCGAAAUUCCUUGCCUUUUGAUUGUGGGCCUGCAUGAAUGGUUUAACGAGGGUUUGACUGUCUCUAAAUUUUUUAUUGAAAUUGUACUGAAGGUGAAGAUACCUUCAUUUAAAAGUUAGACAAAAAGACCCCGUGCAACUUUGAAAAUUAACUUUAUUCAGGAGUAAAAGAUUUUUAGGUGGGGCGCCUAGAAAGCAAGUCUAACCUUUCUGAAUAACUAACUCUUUCCGGAUUUGACCCGAUUAUAUUCGAUCAUAGGAGAAGUUACGCCGGGGAUAACAGGCUAAUCCUUUAGUAGAGUUCGUAUUGGCUAAAGGGAUUGGCACCUCGAUGUUGAAUCAGGGAUGAUAGCUUCAAGGCGUAGAGGCUUUGAAAGUAGGUCUGUUCGACCUUUAAUACC